GACGAACGCUGGCGGCGUGCUUAACACAUGCAAGUCGAACGGAAAGGCCCUGCUUUUGUUGGGUGCUCGAGUGGCGAACGGGUGAGUAACACGUGAGUAACCUGCCCUUGACUUUGGGAUAACAUCAGGAAACUGGGGCUAAUACCGGAUAGGAGCUCCUGCUGCAUGGUGGUGGUUGGAAAGUUUCGGCGGUUGGGGAUGGACUCGCGGCUUAUCAGCUUGUUGGUGGGGUAGUGGCUUACCAAGGCUUUGACGGGUAGCCGGCCUGAGAGGGUGACCGGCCACAUGGGGCCUGAGAUAGGGCGCAGAAUCCAACGGGAGGCAGUAGUGGAGAAUAUUGCAGAAUGGGCGGAAGCCCGAUGUAGAAACGCCGCGUGCGGGAUGACGGCCUUCGGGUUGUAAACCGCUUUCGCCGGUGACAAAGCGUGAGUGACGGUAAUGGGUAAAGAAGCACCGGCUAACUACGUG
rnacentral:rRNA from 1 species